rnacentral:rRNA from 1 species
AUGGAUGAGCAUCCAGAGGGUGAAAAAUUCCUGCACAUGCUGGCCAGUGAUGGUGAUGUCUCGUCUGAUCGUAAGCAUCCAAGCAUUCUGUGUAAUAGCCUCUCGCACCUUCCAGUUCUUUCUCCUCGAGGCCUCAAAGACGAGAGGUGCAAUGUCCUUCGGCUUGCGGCCAAGCAGCCAGGGGGAGUCCCAAAAAGGCGUUCUAGCCCCAUUGCCCACGAUGAUGGAAGUGGAGGCGUAGAAAAAAUCACGGUCCUCCUCGGUGCAAGGGUUGCCCAGGCCAACCCAGAGCUUGGACGGCUCUUUCCAUUCAAACCAAAGCCAUCUGAGCCUCAAAGCACGAGCAAAUUUGUCGGUGUUAAGAACACCCAAACCCCCAUAGCUGGUGGGGCGGCAGACCAUGUCCCAGUUGACUUUACAUUUGGCACCGGUGGUCUUGUCAGAGCGGGCCAAAGAAAAGCUCGCUCAAUCUUGUUGAGGUUGUCAAGGGAACCCUGA